rnacentral:rRNA from 1 species
AUUGAACGCUGGCGGCAUGCUUUACACAUGCAAGUCGGACGGCAGCACAGAGAAGCUUGCUUCUUGGGUGGCGAGUGGCGAACGGGUGAGUAACAUAUCGGAACGUACCGAGUAGUGGGGGAUAACUGAUCGAAAGAUCAGCUAAUACCGCAUACGUCUUGAGAGGGAAAGCAGGGGACCUUCGGGUCUUGCGCUAUUCGAGCGGCCGAUAUCUGAUUAGCUAGUUGGUGGGGUAAAGGCCUACCAAGGCGACGAUCAGUAGCGGGUCUGAGAGGAUGAUCCGCCACACUGGGACUGAGACACGGCCCAGACUCCUACGGGAGGCAGCAGUGGGGAAUUUUGGACAAUGGGCGCAAGCCUGAUCCAGCCAUGCCGCGUGUCUGAAGAAGGCCUUCGGGUUGUAAAGGACUUUUGUCAGGGAAGAAAAGGCUG